UACUCAUGGUGAGGACACAUACUCAACAACUCCUUCAAUCUCUCCCAAGACUGAUACAAAGUCUCACUAUCCUUUUGUGCAAAUGUGGAGAUUUACUUUCUUAAAGCG